UUUUCUUUCGAUCCCAUCCUUGCACGUCCUUUGACUUUUUCAGUAGUAGAACCAACAAUAUUGCCCAUCGAUCACCAUCGUUACUAAUGAUAACAGUGUCUUCGAGCUCGAGACAAAGCAAAAAUAUAUUGAUGUAGUGAUAAGCUGUAGUCUUAUGAGAUACCGAUCAAAAACUGAUUAGUAAAUGUGCCUCCCAUCGAUUC
rnacentral:lncRNA from 1 species